ensembl:lncRNA
UGUGCCCACUACCACACAUUUGGACUGAUUUGUGACCACUGUUUGGGAGGGAUGGUUAUAUUGUGUAUCUGGAAUGAAUUUUAGGUCUCUACGUCCAUCCCAUGGGGAAUGGGAGCAGUAACCAAGGUGUUGCAUUUAUAUUUUUGUUGAGUGUGUGUAUAUAUAUAUAUAUAUAUAUAUAUAUAUAUAUAUAGUUUCCCAUUCAUAACUGUACAGUGUGUAAAUGAUGAAACAACAUUAUUUGGAUAUUGAUAAGUAUCUAAAUAAUUCUCUUCAGUGUCAGCCAGUUUCUGUUGGCUCGGUCUGACCUCUGCUAAAGCAGGACACUGAGUGGACCUCUCCUGUUUGUUGUUUGAAUAUUUUAAUUGAAUUAUCUGAUGAAUGAUAAUGCUGCUGAAUAUGAAGUCAGUUCUGUGGUUUUAGGAAGUAGAAUUCUAGUAUUUUAUCUUUCUUAGCACUAGUUAUAUAUAAUAUGUUGCAACAUGCAGGAUCUUGUUAAUGUUUUAUGAGAACUUGCAAAAUAAAAUGUGAGAAUGUGUAAAACAUGUUGAAAAAAAUUAAAUGCUAAUGUAACAAGUGUCACCUGGCAGUUUGUUGCUCUCUGCCAGGUGAUUGGCUGAAGAGCUGUGAAAAGGUACUGGGUGUGUGGGGUGAGGUCAGCGCUCUUCUGUGGAAAAAACCCAGAGGCGAUUAAUUGACUCGGGUGCGAGUGGGUCUACUGUCGGUAAGAGACUUUUGCCAUUUUGUUUGGAUCAUUUGUUAUUGUAGGUGCUGAUUUUUGAUGUGUGUCGUUGGACUUUUUUAGUGUGACCACGAGUUUUAAUGGAAGAAUUGAUCAAGCCCUAGAUCGACUGCGCGCAGGGAGACUGAUCAGUAUUGUAGCUGCGCUGUCUCUGAUGUCCUUUUUUUUUUUCGUUCUUUUGAUUGAUUUGGAAUUUUGUUUGUGUUGUCCGUCCAGCUGUAAAGACUGUUAUUGAUUGGGAGUGAGUUGUGUAAGGGCGGACUAACCUCCUUUUUUGUUUUUUUGUUUAUUUGUUUGUGCCACUUCCCUUUAUAUCCCAGAUUACAGGUCAUGCAUAGCACUGCUUCCCAGCUGUGCUGAGACCCAAAUUGUUUGCAGUGCGUGCCACAGCUAAAUCGAUUGCAGUGUCGCUAAACGGGGUGUGACGGUUUGCAGUGUUGUGUAAUUUUCACACCAUUUGUGUGGUAAGUCUCAUGUGCAGCUGGGAUAUCAGCAGGAUGUGUUGUAAGUCCGGUCUGGAAAUAACUGGGAAUUUGUAUGUUUAAUUAAUGUAAUAAAUAAAUUAUUAUUGGCUGUGGCUACAAUGUAGCUGCCAUCACCAGUGUGUGAAUGUGUGUGUGAAUGGGUGGAUGACUGGAUAUGUAAAGCGCUUUGGGGUCCUUGGGGACUAGUAAAGCGCUAUAUAAAUACAGGCCAUGAGAUGGAAAAAGAUAGUGUGCACUCGCCAGGUUGGAAAGUUAUUUCCCAAUAUCUAAGAAUCUGGGAUUCAAU